rnacentral:rRNA from 1 species
AUACGUAGGGGGCGAGCGUUGCCCGGAAUGACUGGGCGUAAAGGGCGCGUAGACGGCUGUCUAAGUCUGGAGUGAAAGUCCUGCUUUCAAGGUGGGAAUUGCUUUGGAGACUGGAUGGCUUGAGUGCGGAAGAGGUAAGUGGAAUUCCCAGUGUAGCGGUGAAAUGCGUAGAGAUUGGGAGGAACACCAGUGGCGAAGGCGACUUACUGGGCCGUAACUGACGUUGAUGCGCGAAAGCGUGGGGAGCGAACAGGAUUAGAUACCCUGGUAGUCCACGCGGUAAACGAUGAGUGCUAGGUGUAGCGGGUAUCGACCCCUGCUGUGCCGGAGUUAACACAAUAAGCACUCCGCCUGGGGAGUACGGCCGCAAGGUUGAA